UAAAGAGCUUUUUCCAGUACGAAAGGACCGAAAAAACACGGCCCAUGCCUAAAGUAAGCCGUACCCAUUAAUUUAUGAUUUUAAACUCAAUAAACAAUUGACCUCCAAAUUUAUUCUAGACAAGGAC
rnacentral:rRNA from 1 species